rnacentral:rRNA from 1 species
UACAGAGGUGGCAAGCGUUGUUCGGAAUUACUGGGCGUAAAGGGCGCGUAGGCGGCCAUCUAAGUCAGACGUGAAAUCCCCCGGCUUAACCUGGGAACUGCGUCUGAUACUGGACGGCUUGAGUAUGGGAGAGGGAUGUAGAAUUCCAGGUGUAGCGGUGAAAUGCGUAGAUAUCUGGAGGAACACCGGUGGCGAAGGCGGCAUCCUGGACCAAUACUGACGCUGAGGAGCGAAAGCCAGGGGAGCAAACGGG